rnacentral:rRNA from 1 species
UUAAAUUGAAGAGUUUGAUCAUGGCUCAGAUUGAACGCUGGCGGCAGGCCUAACACAUGCAAGUCGAACGGUAACAGGAAGAAGCUUGCUUCUUUGCUGACGAGUGGCGGACGGGUGAGUAAUGUCUGGGAAACUGCCCGAUGGAGGG